GCCAGCAUUCGUGGUGAUUUGGCCGGUCGGCUUGCAGCCACGUUAAACAACUCGCUAAACAGGCCGAUGAAGACAGACU
rnacentral:ncRNA from 1 species